GGGACAACAGUUGGAAACGACUGCUAAUACCGCAUAACAUCUCCGGAUCAAAGUGGGGGACCUUCGGGCCUCACGCCAUAAGAGUAGCCCAAGUGGGAUUAGCUAGUUGGUAAGGUAAUGGCUUACCAAGGCGACGAUCCCUAGUUGGUCUUAGAGGAUGACCAGCCACACUGGAACUGAGACACGGUCCAGACUCCUACGGGAGGCAGCAGUGGGGAAUAUUGCACAAUGGGCGCAAGCCUGAUGCAGCCAUGCCGCGUGUGUGAAGAAGGCUUUCGGGUUGUAAAGCACUUUCAGCGAGGAGGAAAGGGUAAAUCUUAAUAGGGUUUAUCUGUGACGUUACUCGCAGAAGAAGCACCGGCUAACUCCGUGCCAGCAGCCGCGGUAAUACGGAGGGUGCGAGCGUUAAUCGGAAUUACUGGGCGUAAAGCGCGCGUAGGCGGUUAAUUAAGUCAGAUGUGAAAUCCCAGGGCUCAACCUUGGAACUGCAUUUGAAACUGGUUAACUAGAGUUUUGUAGAGGGUGGUAGAAUUUCAGGUGUAGCGGUGAAAUGCGUAGAGAUCUGAAGGAAUACCAGUGGCGAAGGCGGCCACCUGGACAAAGACUGACGCUGAGGCGCGAAGGCGUGGGGAGCAAACGGGAUUAGAUACCCCGGUAGUCCACGCAGUAAACGAUGUCUAUUAGAAUUUUGUGGCUAUAUGCCGUGGGAUUCAAAGCUAACGCAUUAAAUAGACC
rnacentral:rRNA from 1 species